AACGUAACUUAAGAAAUUCGAUGAGAAACAACUGGAGGGCAAGUCCUUGGUGCCAGCAGCCGCGGUAAUUCCAGCUCCCAGUAGUCUGAUUUAAAGUUGUUGCGUUUAAAACGCUCGUAGUUGGAUCACGAAGCAGUACCGAGUCUUUGACCGUCGGAUUUUCUAGGAUGGUGUUCGUUUCGUGCGACCCUGAUUAGAAAUGAUGUGGUUGAAAUUUAAGCUCAGUGCUGCUAGUUGCACGUGAGAUGGAGUGUUGGCCUUAAAUGAGCCGGUAUUCCCGUCUUGCGGAGUGUGCCUUGAAUAAAACAGAGUGCUUAAAGCAGGUAUUUGCCUGAAUGUUAUAGCAUGGAACGAACAAUCGUGUAUAUGCACGCAUCUUCGAAGACGGUAGGUUUUUGACCCGCCGUAUUAGAAUUUGCGCGCGGCACCCACCAAAAUAUGGCUGUUGGUUCCAUAUACGGUGAUGAUUAAAAGGAGCGGUUGGAGGCAUCGGUAUUUGGCCGCGAGAGGUGAAAUUCUUAGACCGGCCAAGGACUAACAAAUGCAAAGGCACUUGUCUAGACCGUUUCCAUUAAUCAAGAACGAAAGUGGGAGGUUCGAAGACGAUCAGAUACCGUCCUAGUUCCCACUGUAAACUAUGCCGACCUGGGAUCAGCCCAGAGAUGUUGCAAGCUCUGGGUUGGUCCCCCUGGGAAACCUCAAGUUUUUCGGUUACGGGGAGAGUAUGGUCGCAAGGCUGAAACUUAAAGGAAUUGACGGAAGGGCACCACCAGGGGUGGAGCCUGCGGCUUAAUUUGACUCAA
rnacentral:rRNA from 12 species